rnacentral:lncRNA from 1 species
CAAUAAAAACAAAAAUAAUAGAGCAUUAGUAACUCCCGCAGAAAUAGCGUAAAUAAUUAUCUAAAAAUAAGAAACAUAAAUACAAUCGCAUGCAAUAAUAUCAUACAGUAACUACCAUAACUACCAACCAUAGGGGGGACAUAAGCUAAAACACAAAUCAUCUAUGGGUAACCCUGCUGACCCACACCCAACCCCGGAUGAGGCGUACGAAAAACUCUAGGAGAACAGCAGUAAAACAAAACAAAGACAAAAACAAAUACAAUAAAAACAAAAAUAAUAGAGCAUUAGUAACUCCCGCAGAAAUAGCGUAAAUAAUUAUCUAAAAAUAAGAAACAUAAAUACAAUCGCAUGCAAUAAUAUCAUACAGUAACUACCAUAACUACCAACCAUAGGGGGGACAUAAGCUAAAACACAAAUCAUCUAUGGGUAACACUGCUGACCCAUCCCCAACCCCGGAUGAGGCGUACGAAAAACUCUAGGAGCCCCUAACUUACAACCCUGAUUCUAGACCUCCAGACUCUCCUAUCAAGGGUCAUGUCCUCGGAAACCUGCAUUCUAGUCAUGUCCUGCCUAAUCACCUCUCCU